rnacentral:tRNA from 1 species
GGGGGCGUGGCGGAACUGGCAUACGCGACGGACUUAAAAUCCGUUUCCGAUAUAGGAUUGUGGGUUCAAAUCCCAUCGCCCCCACGA